rnacentral:tRNA from 1 species
GAGCCAUUAGCUGAGCUGGUAGAGCAUCUGACUUUUAAUCAGAGGGUCAGAGGUUCGAAUCCUCUAUGGCUCA